rnacentral:rRNA from 1 species
UUGCCAGUUGCUACCAGGUAAUGCUGGGCACUCUGGUGAGACUGCCCGUUAACGGGGAGGAAGUGGGGACGACGUCAAGUCAUCAUGGCCCUUACGCCUAGGGCUACACACGUACUACAAUGGCGCAUACAAAGGGCAGCGAUACCGCGAGGUGGAGCCAAUCCCAAAAAGUGCGUCCCAGUCCGGAUUGCAGUCUGCAACUCGACUGCAUGAAGUUGGAAUCGCUAGUAAUUCGAGAUCAGCAUGCUCGGGUGAAUGCGUUCCCGGGCCUU